AUACUAUUUUACUUCACAAAACAUAUUGAGGAUUUUUUUGAUGUAUUAGACACCCCCUUUAAUAUACGUAAACAACAUGCAUGCUAAAAUACCUGCAUAUUUAAAAGCAUGUAGAUACUCUUAAGACACGCAGUCUGCGAUCACCCUUACAAACACAAUGGCACUCACUCUACCACUUAUAAUCUUUUCGAUCGCUUGAUUUUCUUAUUAUGGCUCAUUCAUUCCUAAUCAUGGGACGUAUUUACACCUAGUUACCCGGUUGCUAGGGACGCCUUAAACAGAGCAAGAUGGCUGCCAAACAUCAAAGGAUCAGUCAGCACUACAGUGGACAAGUGAAAAAUCUUGCCCGAGACGGGUUUGGUGUGUAUGUGUAUCCAAAUGGCUUCUUUCGCUAUGAAGGCGAAUGGAAGAUGGGAAAGAAACACGGGCAUGGAAAACUUUUUAUGAAGGAUGGCAGUUUCUAUGAGGGUGAAUUUGCCAAUGGAGAAAUUGAAGGGAAUGGAUUAAGAUACUGGGCACACUCAGGCAACUCUUAUUCUGGGCAGUUUAAAAGCGGUGAGCUUCAUGGCUGUGGUGUGAUGCAGUACUCCAGUGGAGAGAAGUAUGAAGGAGAGUACUGCUAUGGACUACGAGAAGGGCAUGGGCUCCUCUUGGAUAAGGAGGGACACACAUACGAGGGCUCUUUUCACGAAAAUAAGAAGCAUGGAGAAGGCAUAAUGGAUUUCAGGAAUGGUGAUCAGUAUGAAGGGGACUGGCUGCUGGACCAAAGACAAGGCCACGGUAUUAUGCGCUUCGAGGACGGGUCCGUUUAUGAGGGUCAAUGGAGGAAUAAUCUCUUUAAUGGUCAGGGGACAAUGAUACACUGCUCCGGAGUUGCCUGGGAAGGCUUAUGGAUAAAUGGGAGGCCGUCUGGUGGUGCGUCUAAAAUAGUGAUUGAAGGAGGGGACGUGCUGGAGGUCUUCCAGGGGUCCCCGUUCGCCGUGGACGUGCACCUGCAGACCGACGCCGGAGACGUGGCGACAGGUGAAAAUGGACGGGUUCUACAGAUUUGUGUUGGAGUGAAAUUUACGGGAUAUAGGCCGACAUCAUCUUCCUCAAACCUGUUGAAGCUUAUUGAAGACAUGGAGGAGAAACCUAUCCCAACGCCAUUCGGGUUUGAGUUUAUUAGCUACCCUUUGAUGGAGAGGGGCUUUGAAAGCGGGGACUCCAGAGGCGCGCCCCCCCCCUCCGCGGCUAAAUCCGGAUUUGCGCAGACUGACUCGCCAGCCCCCGAGGGGGAGUGGGAGUCUGGAAGUGGAUCACACGGCCUGGGACUUGGAGGGGGCACCCCGAGCUACCUGGAUGGCAAGACAGGAUGUGGAGACCAGUCUGAAAAUGGGGGAUCCACCUCUAUCAUUGAGUCGUUUUCAGAAACCGGAAACUUGGCUCUGCCGGAGGAAGAGUCUCAUUCAGCCAAUCAAAGAGUCGAAGCGGGUCAAGCAAAAUUCCAGAACCUCAUGUUGGCCCCUCCCCCUCCUGACUAUAAGCCUUACUUGGUGAUGGACGAACUGGAGAAGCAAAAAGCUGCCAAGAAGCCAGUUGGCAAGGGCCCUUCAGAAAAACUGCCAUUGUCCCAGGAGAAAAGCUCCGACAGCAAGUCGAGCGUGGGAUCCCGUGUCGGGACGACGGUGAAGAAGGAGGCCGCAGACAGCAGGAGCGUGAGGCCAGGUGAAUAUGUCAUCAUGGUGAAAGAUGUGACCAACCCCCCCUUCCUGGGCCACACCUUGCCCCCUGCCUUCGCCCUGCUCAGAGUGGUGCCCGCCAGGCUCAAGAGGAGGGGGAGCCGCGCCGAAAUCCCGAGGGUGAAGAGCUAGUGAGGGAGAGCAGUUAGCGCUAGCCCACGGGGAAGCGGCUGGAUCAGACUGGCAGCACAGCCAGCGCUCUGCUCUGCCGCCCAAGCGCUGCUCUGGCUUUGCCCAGACGGAAGGCACCUCUUCACCAGCACUGAUUAAGGAAAAGCAGGAGAUCUGAGACUGGGGAACACAAGCAGACUGGCUCCUGUGCGGCAGACGCAGAUGCUCGGGUGGCAGAGGAGGCCAGCGGUGGAGCUGCGGCUGGCGGAGCACGGAACACGGAACACGGAACACGGAACAUGAGGAGACAUCCUUUCUUUACCACAGCCCACCCCACAGGGAGCACGCGAGCACUCAAAUCCUCCACAGCUAUCAGUGGUAACCACCAUGCGCUGGUGGAGGAUGUGGACUCAUAGCCUGGUGCAGGUAAAGUAUUCCAGUAUUUCAGAUGGCCUUUGA